ACAGUUAGAGAGGGCCUCUGCUGAUGUGGUGAACACAUGGAUAUGCCUUAGACUGAGCAGGGCAUGAGAAAAGAGCAAACCAGUGCAACUUCAUCAUGCAGGAAUACACUUAAGUGACAAAUCAGAUCAACUGAGGGUAGUGAACCAGCAGCUACCAGGGUUGUGCGGUAAGAAAAGGGAGGGUGCAAACAGAAAAGCUGUAAGAGCAAUGGACCUGCAGGAAAUAUAUGUCAGAGGAAGUUCGGCUGGAGUACUACGAACAGGCCUGA